CCUACGGGAGGCAGCAGUGAGGAAUAUUGGUCAAUGGGCGCUAGCCUGAACCAGCCAAGUCGCGUGAGGGAGGACGGCCCUACGGGUUGUAAACCUCUUUUGCCGGGGAGCAACGUGCGCCACGUGUGGCGUCACUGAGAGUACCCGGAGAAAAAGCAUCGGCUAACUCCGUGCCAGCGGCCGCGGUAAUACGGAGGAUGGGAGCGUUAUCCGGUUUGAUUGGGUUAAAGGGGUGCGUAGGCGGAUCGUUAAGUAAGUGGUAAAAUUGAGGGGCUCAACCCCUUCCCGCCAUUGAAACUGGCGUUCUUGAGUGGAAGAGAGGUAUGCGGAAUGCGUGGUGUAGCGGUGAAAUGCAUAGAUAUCACGCAGAACCCCGAUUGCGAAGGCAGCAUGCCGGCUUCCGACUGACGCUGAAGCACGAAAGCGUGGGGAUCGAACAGGAUUAGAUACCCCGGUAGUC
rnacentral:rRNA from 1 species